CCCCCAUACUCCCCACAGACCCACUCCCCCAAGCCCUGCCUCCUGGCUGCACUCACCAGCCCUGCUGGGAGGUGACUGUGUCUGCUGGGCUGAGUCGGCAGUGCAGCCAGGCCUGGUCCCAGGGCCGGGAAUCGCUCCGUCCCCUCAGGAGUGGCGUGAUCAGCCAGGCCAGGACCUGCCCCAGCUGGGGUCCCUCAAAAUGCACUUGCCUGGAAGGGCCCAGCCAGGCCCUUCACACUGUUCCCCCCCACGUAUACACUUGGCUGAGACUGGCCAGGCUUCUGCCCCAGUCCCAGGUGUUUCAGCUUUGUGGAGACAGGUGGGGCCCCACAGGUAGUGGGAAGCAGAGACAGCCCAGAGCCGGAGGUGCACUGGGGUCCAGCCAGGGGGCUGAGAGGAGCAGGGGGUGGGGGCAGGGGCAGAGAGGAGUCCUUGGCCAGCUGGCGGGCAGGCCGAGAGGAGCAAGUGGUGGGCGGAGGGAGCCAGCGGGGUCUUGGGGUGCAGUGCAAACGGAGCAGGCCUGGGCCUCUUCUGAGCAUGGGCCCAGCUGCAUAGAGCCACAGGAGCCAUUGUAAACCCAGCACUGAAAAGAGGCAGUGGCAUAGGCAGGAUGGCUCCAACUUCCCUGUAUCUAAAAUUCUCUUCUUCAUGGAACCCCUGGAUAUGCAGGAUGAGGAGGCUUUGCCACCCUGUCCAUUCUGCAGCCCACAAACUCCUUCCCACUGGGGGACAAUUUCUUGAAAACUCUUGUAGAGUUUUCAGCCCCUUCCAUAGGGUUCUCUGAAGGAGGGAGUGAUCUGCUCCAUAGCUAUCAAACUGAUCUUUCCUGGAAUUAAUAAAUUGUUGUGGACAAUUCAUUUCAUGCUGGUCUGGUCUGGUGCCUGCAAAGUUGGUUAGUAAUGCCGCCUUCUGUCGGACCCUGACCUAAAAGGAAUUGCUACGUGGAAGUGAGAAGUCUAGUGCCUGGACUAAACUUGAAGCAAAUGAUGCCCACCUCUUGAUGAGGGCUCCAGCUCUUUAGCAGGGGGGGCUUUAGUUGUAUGUAGAAAAGAUAAAACUCAGGUCUGGGCUACACUAGAGUUAGGUUGACACAAGGCAGCUUACGUUGACCUAACUAUGGAAGUGUUCUACAUUUAAAUUUUGUAACUGCCCAGCUACACUGACUUAAUAACUCCACCUCCAUGAGCGGCAUAGAGUCAAGGUUGAUGUGGUUAAGUCGAUGCAGUGUCAGUGUAGACAUUGUGUUGUUCAUGUUGACUGUUAAUGGCUUUCAGGAGCCUUCCCACAAUGCUCCACGCUGACAGUACAAGAUAGUGGAGAAUAUCCUGCAGCUCAAGUGGUAGAGGGUUAAUCCUUUUGGAGCAAGAUGAUCUGUUGUCAUGAAGUUCUGAAUGGUGAUUUGUACAGCUAUGAAGUCCUAGGAAGCCACAGUUUUCUAAAUUAAGACAUGCUGAAUCUUGGCCAUAAUCACACAAAAAUGUAUGUAUUGUUACAGAACCAAAAAAUCAAAGGAUUGUUGAGGCUUGAUGAUAACAGGGCUAAUAUAUCAACCAGAACUCAAUGAACUAGGAAGCCUCUACAUAGACUAAAUCUGUUACAAGAAUGUUUUAUUUUAUUAUUUAUUGUAUUAUUUUAAAAAUUGGCUAGAAUUGAUCAGACAACUGGGAGGAGUGUGGUAAAUAACACCCAUGAAAAGGUUAAUGCCAGCUUUCAGCAGCUACAAGAAGUUGCUAAGAAACAGUGUCAUGUCCUCCUGGUAUGUCCAGUGAGAGUCUGAGUAGAUGAUGUAAUGCCAAAAUUUGUGUUUGAUUGGUUGGAUCUGUUGCCUCUCAAUGUCCUACUAGGGUGUUUAUAGGCUGAACCUUUUCCACCUUCCUCAUACACACAGUUUAGCUAAGCUCUUAUUAAAUAAAGUUGGCAAUUUUUUUCUAACUCGCCUUUGAACUUUUAAUUACUAUUGCCACAGACAGAGCAUUAGCCCUGUCUGAAAGGAUGAUUUCAGAUGUGUGGUAAAGCCUGCACACCCUUCCUAUGUCUUCCACAGAGGCAGUCUUAAUGCCAUGAAAAAUGCUUUGGAGUAAUACAGUCAUCUAUAACAACAAACAUAUGGUAAGGGAAUAUUUGAUUAUUAAGGGAUUGUAGAAGGAUGUGUGUCCCAGAGUCACUUGCACCCUUCAGAUGACUGUUCAUUUAGGAAACAUUUUUAUAUGAGCUUUUUCACCACCUUUGAAAUCUACUGACUCUUAAGGACAAAUAUUUGUGCAUCUCUCUGUUUGCCAAGAUGAUCCUGCAGAUGUGUAAUGCCUGUGUGUCACUGUGUGUAAAGUGCUUGACGCAGCAGCAAGCUGGCUGCCCUAGAGACGAUGACAGAAUCAGCAGAACAGAGCAGCUUUCCAUAUGUUCGGUUAAUUUCCUGCUAUAUGCCAGGGCUCUUGCUCCUCCUGUGCAGAUAGACAGCAUGUUUUAAUGGACUGAGCACAUAGCUGAGACUGGAGUCAAGAGUUCCUGAAAACGAAUUUCAGCUCUGCCAUGACUUGUUAUGUGGAUAUGAUUUCCAGGACAUAAUUUAUGCUACAUACAUAUGUUUAAAGGGUGCUUUGUAGAAAACUGUAAUUUUUUAAAAAUUAAUUACAAAAUAAAAUUUAAACUCUA